rnacentral:rRNA from 1 species
GAGUUUGAUCCUGGCUCAGGAUGAACGUUGGCGGCGUGGAUUAGGCAUGCAAGUCGUACGGGCCGCAAGGCCAGUGGCGCAAGGGUGAGUAAGGCGACGGUAACCAACCCCAUGACUGGGUAUAGCCGCGGGAAACUGCGGGUAAUCCCCAGCGAUGUCCGCGGGAGGCAUCUCCUGUGGACCAAAGCUCCGGCGUCGUGGGACGGGCUGUCGUGGUAUUAGCUAGUUGGCGGGGUAACGGCCCACCAAGGCUCUGAUGCCUACCGGGCGUGCGAGCGUGGCCCGGCACACUGGGACUGAGACACUGCCCAGACUCCUACGGGAGGCUGCAGUCGAGAAUCUUCGGCAAUGGGCGCAAGCCUGACCGAGCGACGCCGCGUGGAGGACGAAGGCCUUCGGGUUGUAAACUCCUGUCGAGGGGGAAGAACGGGUAACACCUUGACUGAUCCCUGGAGGAAGCACGGGCUAAGUUCGUGCCAGCAGCCGCGGUAAGACGAACCGUGCGAACGUUAUUCGGAAUCACUGGGCUUAAAGCGCGUGUAGGCGGAUGGGAACGUCGGACGUUGAAAUCCCCCGGCUUAACCGGGGAAGGGGCGCCGAUACGACCCGUCUCGAGGAACGUAGGGGGAGCUGGAACUUCCGGUGGAGCGGUGAAAUGCGUUGAGAUCGGAAGGAACGCCCGUGGCGAAAGCGAGCUCCUGGACGUUUUCUGACGCUGAGACGCGAAAGCCAGGGGAGCGAACGGGAUUAGAUACCCCGGUAGUCCUGGCCGUAAACGAUGGGCACUGGGUAGGGGGGCUCGCCGAUGGGCUCCCUGCCGUAGGGAAACCCGUGAAAGUGCCCCGCCUGGGGGAGUAUGGUCCCAAGGGCUGAAAACUCAAAGGGAAUUUGACGGGGGGCUCCACACAAACCGGUGGAAUUAUGUGGGCUUAAUUUCGAAGGCUACCCCGCAAAAACCUUUAUCCCCAGGGCUUUGAACAUGGCACGGGAUUUAGCCCGGGCGGAAAACCGUCCGGUUGAAGGCCCGCCAAGGGUAACAAACGUGGCAACAGGGUGGCUGCCAUGGGCCU